CAUUCUGCAUUUGACCACAACUCUAUCGAGCCAUCCACUGAUAUAGACAUUAUUGUUACACCACGUGAAAGAGUCACCCUCAAAACCGAAGUCAUUCAAAUUGCAAAAGUUCAAAACAUCACGGAAGCGUUGCAUAUAACUUCAUAACCUAAGCGGCCCUUCUUUGCUUCUCAAAGCUAUAAAUGAUCUCGUAAAAAUCACUGUGCAAACCCAAGGCAGCUUAUGUUCAUGGUGAAGUUUUCGAAGAAGCCUCCGAGUUUCUUCUCUUAGCUCAGUCUUCGGUUCACCAUUUUCUUUAGUUCCGGCGAGGCUCCACUUAUAGCCAUCUUCUUUAAUUAUCGGCACAUCAAUAUGCAUUCAACCCAAACAGCGCAAAAUCAAGUUCACCUCCUUCUUUCACGACAUAGCCAAGCCUUCACUUUUCCUAGAACAAGCUUUAAAUUAAUAAAGCACAUGUAAAGACAGAAUAACACGCGGUUCAAAUGACAAGAACAAAAGGAUUGUCUCAAGAAAAAAAACAAGCAAAAAGGAUCAAAGAUCAAAUUCUUGUUCUAAAAUAAAAAGAAGAAAUGUUUAUUCGGCCGAUUUGUGGAUUCCCUCCAGCCGGCUAAAUGAAUAUAAAUACGCCUCCCGUGCCUAAAUGUUCCGCAUCCCACCCGUCUUCUCCCCCAACGGCAGAGAGAGAGAGAGAGAGCGACCGACUCGCGCGGCCGCAGGAGAGAGAGAGAGAGCGACCGAGCGCGGCCGCACCAGGACCAUGGCGUCGAUCGCCGUCGCCUCCGCGCUCCGCCGGGGCGCCGCCUCGCUCCACGCCAGCACCGCGCUCCGCGGCCCCGCCCAGCUCCGCGGCGCCGCCCCGCCCCACGGCCCAGGACCACACCUCCCUGGCCCCUUUCGGUUCGGCCGACCACGGCACUGCAUCCGCGGCGACAGCGGCCCACCGACCCCCGACGAGGAGGAGUCGCAGAAGCUGCGAGAGAAGGUCGAGUCUAUGGACAAAGAAGAGCUGCAGGAAUACGCAAAGAAAGUCACGGGAGAUCUGGCAAACCUGCGUCAGUGCAACAUCGACCGGGCUGAGAUGGACGCGGUGAAACAGGAUGAAAAUCUGCAUCAUUUAACUCUAGCUGAGGAUAUAUAAUGACAAGUCCCCCAACUACAAGUAUUUCGGUACGGAGGGAGUAUUUUCCCUCCUCUUAGUUUUGGACACGUUCUACUGUUAACAACUGAUGAAAUGGCAAUAUCGAAAACCCCAGCAACUUCUUGUUUGGCUGACUGGAUAUAAUAAUGCUGAGGCCCCAUUGCCACUUUGAUCGGGCUGACAUGAGAACAGUGAAACGUGAUGUUGAGGACAGUGGCGGAGCUUCAUGGGGGCCAACCUGGGCGGUUGCCCCCCCCAGCUCAAAGAAAAAUUUGCAUAUAUAUCUAUAUAUUUGACCAAAUUUUCCACUAAAAAUCAGCAUAUUAUGAUUUUGUUUGCCCCUCCUAGCCAAUGCCCCCCCCCCCCCAUGAUUUUAGCCCAAGCUCCGCCACUGGUUGAGGAGACGAAAGCCAGAGUGGAAAAGAUGCAAACAGCUAUAGAGAAGAGGAGGGAUGUGACUUCAAUCCACAUACCGCGCUUUGGCAGCGUAAACCUGCUGGCGUUUGGGAUGUUCUUCUGACAGGUUUAUGAGAAGAUGUGAGAUUCCCCUGGCCGCCAAAGUAAUUCUUCAGAGUAGGAUGAAAUCAGGCAAAAUAUUUGCAGGAAAGUGAAUUCGGGUAGCUGGAUAGAGAUCUUAGUUCGUAGAGUUGGAUGUUUUGGCUAGCCCCCCCGGAUAUAGUUGGAUGUUUUGCAGGACAGUGAAUUUGGGUAGCUGGAUAGAGAUCUUAGUUCAUAGAGUUGGAUGUUUUGGUUAAAAGCCCCCCCACUGGAUACAGUUGGAUACGUCGUUUGAGUGUUUGGAAGCUGAUGAUGGGACAGAUAGUUGGACAAACAGGAUCUGAAUCUUGCAGUAAGAAGAGAUGUUAACAAACACGUUUUGGAGUCUGCAUCAAGGUUUUACUCAAUUCUAUUGCUUCUUCCUAUUGCGGCCUUAGUGGCCAUGUGAGAUCACAUGGACAGACAAAGGAUAAUGACUAUCUCAGCGCAAGAUAUUUCAAAAUGGCUUAGUGAUCACUGCUGAUGAACUGACUCCAGUGUCUUCAUCUGCGAGGUUACACGCAGAAGCUAGUCUCUUUUCCGUUGCAAAUACUACUCGAGUAUCAGAAGAAAAGUACAUUCAGGAACUGACCGAAAGCUGUAGGUCAAACUUUAAAGGCACAAGCACAACCAAGAAACCACAGAAAUCUCGCUUGCUGCCAAUGCCACUGGAAGAAGCAAAUAUUGGAAAUCUCUCUCUCUCUCUCUGACCUGACCAAGUUCCUCAAAACUCCCAAAGAACCAACCAAAAUCGGAAGAGGACAGCGCAAAACAAAGAGGAUCUCGACCAUGGACCGUACCACAAACUUGAAGCAGGAACCAAAUCUGUUGAUGAACAUGUGGAAAUAUUACUCCUCUAUUACCAUAAUCUGCGACGAACAAAUCAUGACCUGCAUCAAGCAGAUGCCCGGCAGCGGAAUCCCUUGAACAGAUUCCGGAUCUGGCAUUUCCUCCCGUCGCUGCUACCCUUUGGCACCAUGGACAAGUUUGCUUGGCUUGGAAAGCAAUGCUUUUGGACGGGAAAGCAAGAUCGGACGUGAUUUAUAAGCGGGGCCAUGAAUCACAAGAGUUCUCCUGAUCUUGCAUUGAUACUUGCAUACAUAUAUAGGGAGAGAAGGGGAACUAAUAACGGCCAGUGCUUCCCGUGGCACGCGCAGGUGCAUGCAACGCUUGAGACCCGGUCCUGCCUAAAUAAUACUCCCUCCGGUCCUUUUUACUCUGCACAUUGGAUUUGCCGAAAAUCAAACUUUGCUAAGUUUGACCAAAUUUAUAAUACUCCCUCCGGUCCUUUUUACU